UCAAACAAACAGAAAGAUUUUACCUUUUUCAGUCCAGUCCCAUCCACUCCGCUAUCCCUGGUCCGAAUCAGUCCCAAUUCUCAUCCAAUCCACCGCAAACUUGCCCCAAUUCCACCGACACAAACCCUAGUUCCAAUUUCGCGCCCGAAUUCACCGAAUCAAGUCAUCUGGAAUUGGGAACUCGGAUUCCGAUCUGGGUGCGUAGAAAUAUCGGCGGUUGACGAGCGGAGAGCUGUGGAUUCGUGAUCUCGUCGCGGUUAGAGCAGAGAGGGGAAGAGCUCGUGACAAUUAUGAUGCGGAUUUUAAUUAUUUUUUAAUAUUUUCUGGAUUAUUAUUUUUAAUUUAAUUAUUUAUUUCUUGUUUUUGUCCGAUGGAUGACGAAUCGCAGCAUCUCCCACCGGAUUUCGCUCUUUUAACGCUAGCGAGAAGACCAACGGAUAUUUUUAAUCGGCGGGACCCAUCUUUUUUUUUAGCAGGGCGGGGAUUGAACGGCAUCGCUACGUCGUCGUCUCGUUGGAGUCACGUGAUUGGCUCGUGACUUUAAAACGUGGCGCCAAAUCCACAGGAAGAAGAAGCUUCGAGUUUUCGCGGAGAGAGGGGCGACGGCAUCGUCUUCCGCGGCUAUCGCGGAGGAGUUCCGAAGGGAAACGCGGAGGUUUUCUUCCGGAAAGCGAAGGUCUGGAAGGACGACGGCGACGGCGACGGCGACGCACCGCCUGUCUUUGUAGAGUGAAUUCGUCUCCCUCUCUUGUUUUGGAAUUUUGAGAAGAAUUUCUGGAGUUGUUAAAGACUACCUCGGGUCCUUGGCGAAGAAUCGUUGCGAAAAAAUUUCGUGCUUGUGUACGAGUUGCUGGACCAAAUCAUUUUACUGCCUCUGGGUUCUGUUGGAAUUUUUACGGCCAAAAGAAUGCCAGUGACGACAAUCGCAAAAUCUGUUGUUGCAAAUGAGCGUGGAGGUAGAAAGAGAGAGGAAAAUUUUGUGGACGUAAUUGAAAAAAUGAGUGUUACUUUCAGUUCCAGUGGAUAUAUACUUCUGAGAUUGAUGGUACCAUCCAAUUGAAGAGUUAUCUCACAGGCAAUCCAGAAAUUUGACUUGCUCGAUUAUAUUUUAGGAACAGGGGUUGUUAUACUGGACGAUUGUAAUUUCCACGAAUCUGUACAUCUUGAUAGUUUCAAUGUUGACAUAACACUUACAUUGGUACCAACCGAUGGUGAAUUUCCUGUCAUGAAUUACCGCAUUACUCAGGAGUUCAAGCCAUCCUUUCGUAUUAAUGCGUUUAUUGAAGAAACAGGACUGUCUAAGGUGAAGAAAAAGUUCAAAAAACUCUUGUAUCUUAAAAUAGUAACAUCUGAUUCCAUCUAAAUCAUGCUUUGUUAGGCUGAUUUCCCCUCAAGCAUUAUUGCAGAUAAAAUCCUUGUGCAGAUUCCGCUGCCAGCAUAUACAGCAAAUGCCUACCUUAGAGUUAGAGCAAAAUUAAUGUUAGAUUUCUGGUCUGCUGUCUUAUAUUUUGCUUCUUUUGACUGAAGAGCAUAGAGCAUAGACUUUAAUUGUUAACUUUUAUUUGUAGAUAUUUGACCUAUAUUGUACCAAACUAGCCAUUGAUCAUUAAUGUAUGAUAAUAUUAUACUUUUAUAAGCAACUCCACAUAUAUGAUUUACUGAACUUCUCGGUAAUGUUAUCGUUGGUUAUGAUUAACCAUAUAGAAAAGCAUAUAAAGGAACUCUUAUGUAAACGUUGAUACUUUCAAGUAGGGUUCAGGAUUGACAGGAUCAACAACAGUGGAGCAAUUCCAGUUAGGCAGACAAUUCAUUUCCUAAAUUAUUCCUUUUCUUUCUCCUCUUUAAUAUGUUUCAUGGAAUUGUCUCUUGUAUAUUACACACUAUUUAUUAUGUUUCAGUUCAAACUUGGGACAGCUUUUAGAAAAUUUGGAUGAACUUUUACUCAGCGAUAAAUCUUUAGGUAACCACAUGCAAGAAUGGGGAAAAAUUUAAUCUUUCAAACUGGUUCCAUAUUUGCAUCACUGAUUAUCUCGUCCGCUCUGGGCUACGUCAGGGUUAGUUUUGAGUUGGAACCUGGAGCGGUUUGAAACACAACUGAUGGGUUUGCUUCAGUGUUCGAAAUUAGUAACAGGUGCCUUACAUUGUAGAUUGUUGGUGGAUCUGAACUUACAUUACAGGCAAAGCUGACAUUUUCACAGGAAUCACUUUGUAUACACUAUUUUAUUUUGGAGCCUGUAAUGCUAUAUUAUAUUCAAUGUCAUUUAUGUGUCAGAAGAAUGAAAAAGAAACUGGUGUGUAAAUUCUACUUUGUUUCUGCAUUUGUACUGAUGUAGGAAAUAUUACCAAAGAAGCUGGACCUCUUAGCAUGACCUUCACAAUACCUAUGGUCAAUGCUUAAAGGCUUCUGGUAAAGUACUUGCAUAUAACAAAUAAGUGGAAGAGCCACAAUCCAUAUCGAUGGGUGAGAUAUGCCACACACUCAAAUUCCUACGUUGCUGGGUUGUAAUAUCUCAUCUCCCUAAACUUGAGGGAUGUGUUCUACUUAUUGACGUUAAUUAUAAUGACAUGAAGCGACUGGGCGUUGGACUCUGAUGUAUCAGCAGGAAGCAUGCCCUCUACUGCAGAAAGGGAAACACAUUGGAAGCCCAUCGACACAAUACACGGGUCACAAUCAGGCUAGUAAACUGACCAGUUGAGUUCUGUGUGCUUUAGCGAAUGGUUCGAUUGACUUGCAUCUAGACAAAAAAAUGUCAAGUUCAAUUCUUUUUAAUACUUGUGUGCUGGAGAUUAUCAGGGUAUAUAUACUGCACAGUUUCGAUGUCUUUUUGGAAGAACUUGAUUCAUUUCACCAUCUCUGAGAUUCUGAACAGAAGUGGUGUGAAGGAAACUUGGAUAAUGGGACUUAUCUUUCUCUAGAUUAUCCGUGGAAUAGCCGAUAGCGAAAUGCCGUCCAGAUCGUGUGCUCAUUCCAAAUGGCUAAUACUAAAGAAAGCACCCGGAUGCCACUUACUCUAUUCAGCUAAUCUACGUCUAAAGUUACCGAUGAAAGCGAAGGAACUUUGGAUUAAUUAAAGAUACAGACAUAAUCUGGAAUGAAUUCUCAUUCAAUGCAGUAGAAGAAAGAGGACACCAUAUUGUCAGAGCAUAAAAGUGUUCGAGUCUUAAAUUGGAUGGAUUAGUAUAUGUUUUAUUUGCCCAUCCCUUGAAGUAAUAAACAUUCAUCGAAUAUCUUAAAAUUUCUUAAUUAUACUUGAGGAUAUAAUGAGUCUGUACUCUUAGUUGAUUGAGAACGUUCACCUCAUAUAAGAUCUUGUAGUCCCGAGUUUACG